rnacentral:rRNA from 1 species
CGACAGGCUUAACACAUAGCAAGUCGAGGGGCAGCAUAGAAGUAGCAAUACUUCGGUGGCGACCGGCGCACGGGUGAGUAACGCGUAUGCCAACCUACCUAUCGAGAGGGGAAUAACCCGGCGAAAGUCGGACUAAUACCGCAUAAAACAGGGGCACCGCAUGGUGAUAUUUGUUAAAGAAAUUCGCUGAUAGAUGGGCAUGCGUUCCAUUAGGUAGUUGGUGAGGUAACGGCUCACCAAGCCGACGAUGGAUAGGGGAGCUGAGAGGUUGGUCCCCCACACUGGUACUGAGACACGGACCAGACUCCUACGGGAGGCAGCAGUGAGGAAUAUUGGUCAAUGGGCGGGAGCCUGAACCAGCCAAGUCGCGUGAAGGAAAGAAGGAUCUAUGGUUCGUAAACUUCUUUUGCAGGGGAAUAAAGUGCAGGACGUGUCCUGUUUUGUAUGUACCCUGAGAAUAAGGAUCGGCUAACUCCGUGCCAGCAGCUGC